UGGCGUACGGCUCACUAACACGUAGUCAACCUGCCCUGGAGACAUGGAAAACCCCGGGAAACUGGGAUUAAUCCGUGAUAGGUCACCUCAUCUGGAAGGAGAGAUGGCUUAAAGGGGUGCGAGAGCUUCUUUCUUGCAUUCGCUCCAGGAUGGGACUGCGGCCGAUCAGGCUGUUGGCGGUGUAAUGGACCACCAAACCUGUAACCGGUACGGGCCUUGAGAGAGGGGGCCCGGAGAUGGACACUGAGAGAAGGGUCCAGGUCCUACGGGGCGCAGCAGGCGCGAAACCUUCGCAAUGCGCGAAAGCGUGACGAGGUUAAUCCGAGUGGUCCCCGCUGAGGGGAUCUUUUGUUGGCUGUAAAAAGGCCGAUGAAUAAGGGGAGGGCAAGUCUGGUGUCAGCCGCCGCGGUAAUACCAGCUCCUCGAGUGGUCGGGGCGAUUAUUGGGCCUAAAGCAUCCGUAGCCGGUUCUGUAGGUCCUCUGUCAAAUCCAACGGCUUAACCGUUGGCCCGCAGAGGAUACCGCAGGACUAGGAGGCGGGAGAGGUGGACGGUACUCGACGUGUAGGGGUAAAAUCCUUUGAUCCGUCGAAGA
rnacentral:rRNA from 1 species